ensembl:lincRNA
CACCGAACAAAUGGAAGCUGUGUUUGCUCCACUGUGAAACACAAGCAGCGCCCGUCCCAGGGAGGGUUUGCUGUGUCAUCCAAAAUAAAUGGACAGGGGUGAGUGUGCUGGGCAGACUGUGUUCUGACUUCAAAGGGGCCUCACGGCUGUGGCUGGAGAGAGACUCCUUCAGGCCUCCCCCCACAAGGAGCGCACUCAUGAACAUGCCACUUCUGGAUGAGUUCUCUUUAUCUGCUUAGGAGUGUUCGACAGCACAGCACUUCUGUUUAUUUUCUGCUGAGGUUAAACAGAUGCACAGGUCUGUUAGGCCACAGGGCCUAGUUCAAGAUGAAGCAGGAAGACGGAUGUGGUAGGUGUCAUGUUAACAUGAGGACAGUGGAUUUGCCUGCUUUUGGUACUUGCAUUCAUAUUUCACUUUGAUUUAUGUCUCAGUCUUCCCAGUGGCCAAAUUAUACUUUCUUUCAGCUUUAAUCUGAAGCCAAGAGGUCCUCUGCUCUACAGACAGUGAUGUAGUCUCCAGAAAUUGGCCAUGAUCUCAAAAAUCAUCAUUUCUUCGCUAAAUAGUAUCACGUCUGUCUUGCAUCUGCCUUUCUUACUCCAGCGGUGUUCAACAGCUGAAAGGAAGGAUAUCAGAAUUUGUCUACACAUCCAGUUUGGGAAGGAAGAAUGCUGACCCAUGGCACGAGGGCAAGAAAGCAGAAAAUGGAACGAAGGGAAGACAAAGGCGCUCGUGGAGGAAUUGCUUCGUAGUUGCAGUAUAGCCCGAAAAGGAAGGUUUCAUUGAUGAACCCCUGACCACCACCUGCUAGGCUGUUAUGUUUAACCCUUCAUAUUUUUGAGUAUGUCCUGCUACUCCAUAAAUAGCUUAUUACAUAAGCUUUUUUCACUCUCCUAAGCUCAUUCUCUUCAACAAUGCCAGAAAUAUAAUACCAGGUAAGUGACCAAGAAAAUAUAUGUGACCCAACCUUUGUAAGAGAUUUCAUUUUGCUAAAGGUCAAGACAAAUUAUCAUGAAAUCCUUAGAGACAUUGUUGCAUGGUUGCUGGGGACAAAAGGCUUCCCUUCAGAAGAGCUUCUUAGAAGCAAAGGAUUUCAAUCUUCAGCUGACUUUUAGCUAAUGACUGUCGCCUUUUCUUCCACCAGCUCUGCUUAUUAAAAGGAGAAUGCAAUCUGGAGUGUGUGCCGUCAGAGUGAACAGCGGGUCAGUCACUAAUCCCAAAUUGUGUGCCCCAGGAUGCCUACUGCAGAAUGAAGAAAUGCUUAUAUUUGAUUAACCUUCCAGGUAGAGAAAGGGAGGCAGCCAGGGGUCUGUAGCUACAUGACAAGGUACAAUAGUAGUUUGAAAAUAUGGCAUUCCACAGGGAGUGCAAAAAAAAAAAUCACAGCACAAGGUGCUGACUUAGGCUAAUGAAUGAAGAUGGCGUCUACACAACAGCUAAGCAAGCUUUCGAAAGAAUGUGGAAAUACCGAGCAUUCAUUUCUUCCAAAGUAUUUUUAACCACAUGAUAGUUCCUUAUGGUGCUUUGUAGGGAAUACGAUGCUUCAAAAGCAGAACCCCAUUGAUCUUUGCCACUAUUCUUUGUGUCAAAUAAAGGGAUACGAUUGAGAAGUAUUUGAUUUUCUUAUUUUAAAAAAUCCUGGGCAGGGGAUUUAGCUCGGAGGUUUGGUGGCCUGCCUUGCAAGCGC